GGAGGAGGGGGCUUUCAGGAGGAGGAUGAAUUAAUAAAUAAAUGGAAGGGGGGAAGGGAAAGCGCGCCCGGGGGCACCCCGAGUCGAGGCGGACAAAGGGAGGACGAUGCCCGGCUCGGUUCGGCUCCGCUGGGCGCGGAGCUGCCGCCCCUUUGUUCGGCGCGGCAGCGAGGGGCGAUCCGCGCCGCUCCGCCACCGCCAGCAGCGCAGCGGCAGCGGCGGCAGCGGCAGCCCCACGCCCGCCCCGCCGCCGUCCCGCCCGGGAGGUGCCGGUACCUGUGUCCGCUGGCCGCGGUGCCUGCGCGCCGCUGCGCCCCUGCGGCGCGUCCGGCGGAGCGGUGCGGCGCGACUAGCAGCGCCGAGCAGGAGGAAACGGCAUCCUUUGCAGGAGGCAGCUCACAUUUUGUGAGUUCCACGAGGGACCACAAACAGGCGGCUCUGGCUGCAGUAGGGAGUGAAGAAAAACGUUUCUCACCGGCUCAGCCACUUGUUUGGUUGCAGUGAGGAUGCCUAGAUGCAGAUUAGGAACCAGCAGUCACAUCAGUGAAAUGAGAAACCUUGUUUUCAUUGGCUGCUAGAGGGAACAUGAUGUUUCAUGGACUCAGGACCAAGAUGGGGCAUGGACAAAGAGCAGAUUUUGCAGGGAUUGGGAAGAUUUUACAAAUAAAGAUUAAAAUUUUAAAAACUGAAGUUCAUCCAGGCAUGAAGUCCAGCAGAAAUGUAGGAGAGAAAUGGACAGCACUGUCUGUGAAGGAUUGUGUAAGCAAGAAUGGCAAAACCAUGGUCUGAAUAAAUCCAUUGCACUAAUUAUUUUCUGUACAUGAAUUUCCUAUACAAAGUUACAUGGGGUCAGUCUUUGGGGUUCCCCUGUAUAGCAGAGGAUCCUGAGCCUGAAAAGAGAAGCCGAUUUUGUAAGGGAUUUGCAUAUCAUGGAGUGACUCAGGAUUGCAGAUUUUAAGCAUUACUAAAUCAGGGAAUAAAUUGUUGCUAUUGCUGUUACAUACCAGGAUAUCUCACUAAUCCACACAAUCCACUAAGUUGCUGUAGUUUUAGUCUGUGCUUAUUUUAGAUGAAAUUAUGGCCUGGACGGUUAAUUUUUCUUAGUUUAUCCAUAUAAAUCAAAUAUAAAUAAGGUAUCAAACAGAAACCAAAACAUGACCUGUGUUUUUAGUACACUCCCCAUCAUGUGAACCUGCCAGUGAUAGAGCUCUGCACCCGGUUUACAAGUCAAACACAAAGGCAAAGAAAAACCACAGGUCUUCUUGAAAAAUAGCCAGUUGGCAUUAAAUUCCCUUGCUUUAAUGCUCUGGCUGCCCUGUUUUGCUUAUAUUUGAGACUGCCUAGCCAUUAUGGGAUUGCCUGCACUGGUCCUUUCCUUACAUCAAACUAAUUACAAAUUAACUUAAGGCACUUAGCAGGGCUGAGAGGCUGGAGCUGGUCCUUUCUGAGUUUGGAAAUGCCUGUUGCUUUACAGUGGCUGAUUCCUAAAGUGAGGGGCAAACACACAGGAACCAAACAGCCUGGAACCAAAGUGGUCACACUGGCUUUUGAAAACAGUGAGUCUCUCAAGUUAACUGACAAUCAGCUACCUGGAAAUAAAAGCCUCUCAUAUAUCCAAAGGUUUUCACUGGGAUUUUCAAGAUCUCCUGGGCAAUUUAAAAUCCUUGAAAGGAAUGCACUAUAGAAUGAAAAAUAUAAGUAUUAUUAAAGAAUGUCUCUGAACUGAAAGCCAGCCAGUUUCAUAAAAAUGAGCUAAAAAAGUAAUAACAGGUAGUCUGUCUCUGCUGGAUGCUAUAUGAACCGUAUGUUUUGUAUUUUGGAAGUCACUCUAAAACAAUGUUUUUUUCUUCACUAUUGCUGUUGGGAAGAACAGUAGAAGAACUAUGUAUAAAUGAGAUUAAAGUAAUCUAAUUUAUAAAAAUAAACAA